AAAAACCAGACAACCUCAAAUAGAGAAACAGCUGCUUCAUUUCCUUUUGUUUCGCCAGUUAUACCCACCAUCAAAACCUUAAACCUGUUACAGUAAUGGCUGCCGUGAGCUUCUAUGAUCAACCUGCCUUUGUUCUUUCAAGAGGCACCCUCUCUCCACACCUUUGUAAAUCAAAUCUCAUUUUCAUGGAUUCACAGUUAAGAGGCAGAGUACAAUGUAGCUCUGUUUCUCCCUGUUUAAACUAAAACCGCCCCUUUUCCUCAAAGGCAGACAGGAUGAACCAGGCAAAUUUAAAUAUUAUACAUAUAUGAACCAGGCAGACAGG
rnacentral:lncRNA from 1 species